CUUUUUCCUUGGUCGCUAGGUCUCUUAUCCAUAAUAAUGGACUUAUUUGCAUCUCUCGCUAUUGCUAUUAAAACGUAGGUGAACUUUGAGUCAUACUUCAUGCGGCCUGACAGAUUCUUCUUCAUUAGAGUUUGCAGGCUCAGGCUGUCGCUGCGCAACCUCGGAAGUUAAGGUGGGUGACUGAAGAUUAUCAACAUAGCAGCCAUGCUACAAGUUAGCAAGUACUGUUUCUAUCGAGUCUUUGGAUCAUUCUGUGUGGGAGUAGCUUUUUACUGGGUAUAGCUCAAACUUGAGAGAUUUUGGAAAGUUCUAGUUUCUUGUGUUUACCAGCUCUGGUUUUCCAGUUCAAGUUUCAUGAGUAUGCGAAUUGCCAGUUUAAUUGCAG
rnacentral:lncRNA from 1 species